AGAGGUUGCCCUUGGUGAAUUCGCUUUAUUUAUGUUGAAUCACACAAAGGCAACUUUUGU
rnacentral:pre_miRNA from 4 species